GCCGGGGUGGCGGAACUGGUAGACGCGCCGGAUUCAAAAUCCGGUUUCUUUACGGAAGUGUGGGUUCGAUUCCCACCCUCGGCACCA
rnacentral:tRNA from 1 species